GAGACCUGGGAUGUUUAAGCAGCACCCCCGGAGAGAGUGAUAGAGACUGUGCUGGCAGCAAAGCCAGCCAGAAGUGGGGGAUGCGGCGAGAGAAGGUGCCCGGCAGCUGUGGGAGUCCUGGGCAGACAGAGGUGAAGAUUUUAAUCCCUCGGUAGAAUAAUGGAAACCUUACAAAUUCUGAUCCUCCUGAAUCAGAAUGAGGAGAGAGAGAUGAAGCAUGACUAAAUAGGCACGUGUGAAGAAAGCGAUUACAAGUGAGAGAUGUUAAAAGCAGUAAGAAGAAUCCUAAGUAAGAAGAGAUGAUGGAGUAGCCUUGGGCUAGACUCUUUCUUGUAUAGCCAUGAACAGACCCAUGUUUUCCUGUGACCCAAAGACUGUAUUUAAGGGGAGGCAAUACCUUAGAGUCAAAAGUGAAGCAGUAGCAUGAACAGAGACAGCUGAGGAAGAUGUGGGAUGCCCUCUGUCUCUGUGGAGAGGAAGAUCUCAGUUCAUGAAGCCCCUCGACCCCAGGGGGUGAAAUUUAAGGGGGACUGGUGUCCCGAAGUUGAGAAGUGAAACAGUAGUGAAAACAGAGACAACUGAAAAAAGUGUGGGAUGCCCUCUGUAGAGAGGAAAAUCUCUGUUCAUUAAGAACUCUUGACUAAUGCCAGCCUUGAACACUUGAAAAACUCCAGAUUCAGACCCUAAAAUAAUAAAGAACAGUUAAAAAAUUUUGAAGAGAAUAUUAUGAUAGAACAAUAUAUCUAGAUGCAAUUUAAAAAGAAGCUAUAGCAAGAUUUUUGAUAAAGGGCUGGCAACAUCUCUGGUGUGCGUGUGGAGCCCUCUGAACUUCCUGGACACAAAUGAACAUUAAAUCUGCCUACACUUAAAAACUAUGCUGUCAAUGCAAAGGGGAUUUGCUUGGGAAGACCAGCUGUCUGUGAGUAUCUGUGUGUUGCAGUUUGACUCCUUUGAGAGCAACCUCAAAACACGGCAGCAAGGCAGAGAAUAAUCAAUGGAAGUAUCAAAGAAGCCACAGAAAGUCUGUCAACACUGUGGAGCAGCACAGCUGACAUGGCUCUGUGUAAGGUUUCUCCUUGAACUCGACUCAUCCAUGAGCUGCAG